CACGUAGGGGCCAAGCGUUGUCCGGAUUUAUUGGGCGUAAAGAGCUCGUAGGCGGUUGGGUAAGUCAGGUGUGAAACCUCCAGGCUCAACCUGGAGACGCCACUUGAUACUGCUGUGACUGGAGUCCGGUAGGGGAGCGUGGAAUUCCUGGUGUAGCGGUGAAAUGCGCAGAUAUCAGGAGGAACACCAGCGGCGAAGGCGGCGCUCUGGGCCGGUACUGACACUGAGGAGCGAAAGCGUGGGUAGCAAACAGG
rnacentral:rRNA from 1 species